rnacentral:rRNA from 1 species
GAUGAACGCUGGCGGCGUGCCUAAUACAUGCAAGUAGAACGCUGAAGCUUGGUGCUUGCACCGAGCGGAUGAGUUGCGAACGGGUGAGUAACGCGUAGGUAACCUGCCUGGUAGCGGGGGAUAACUAUUGGAAACGAUAGCUAAUACCGCAUGACAACAGUUAUUGCAUGAUAACUGUUUAAAAGGGGCAAUUGCUCCACUACCAGAUGGACCUGCGUUGUAUUAGCUAGUUGGUGAGGUAACGGCUCACCAAGGCGACGAUACAUAGCCGACCUGAGAGGGUGAACGGCCACACUGGGAAUGAGACACGGCCCAGACUCCUACGGGAGGCAGCAGGAGGGAAUCUUCGGCAAUGGACGGAAGGCUGACCGAGCAACGCCGCGUGAGUGAAGAAGGUUUUCGGAUCGGAAAGCUCGGUUGUAAGAGAAGAACGAGUGUGAGAGUGGAAAGUUCACACUGUGACGGUAUCUUAACAGAAAGGGACGGCUAACUACGUG